rnacentral:tRNA from 1 species
CCACAAAUGGAUUUCCUUUAAAGA